rnacentral:rRNA from 1 species
GACGAACGCUGGCGGCGUGCCUAAUACAUGCAAGUAGAACGCUGAAGGAGGAGCUUGCUUCUCUGGAUGAGUUGCGAACGGGUGAGUAACGCGUAGGUAACCUGCCUGGUAGCGGGGGAUAACUAUUGGAAACGAUAGCUAAUACCGCAUAAGAGUAGAUGUCGCAUGACAUUUGCUUAAAAGGUGCAAUUGCAUCACUACCAGAUGGACCUGCGUUGUAUUAGCUAGUUGGUGAGGUAACGGCUCACCAAGGCAACGGUACAUAGCCGACCUGAGAGGGUGAUCGGCCACACUGGGACUGAGACACGGCCCAGACUCCUACGGGAGGCAGCAGUAGGGAAUCUUCGGCAAUGGACGGAAGUCUGACCGAGCAACGCCGCGUGAGUGAAGAAGGUUUUCGGAUCGUAAAGCUCUGUUGUAAGAGAAGAACGAGUGUGAGAGUGGAAAGUUCACACUGUGACGGUAUCUUACCAGAAAGGGACGGCUAACUACGUG